GCGUACCCCCCAUCCAGCACUUUUUCUUAUCCCCAAUCUCCCCUUCCUCAUGAUUCCCCUCUCACCCCGAGCUCCAUGACCAUGACGCUGCCCGUCACCACCAAUUUCUGCUAGGUGAGGCGCUUUCCCACGACGUCACUCACAAGCCCGGCUGUCGUGCAGUCCUCUCCUCUGAUGCUUCACUGCCGUGACUUCCUCCUCGCUGCCACACAUGCCCCUGCAGCAACCCUAGCCGCCACGGGCCUCCGGUGCGACUCCCGCGUAGGCCCUCUACCCCGCAUCUCCGUAUGCGCCGGUGCCAGCUCGGGCUCAACGGUGUUGCCCGCCUCUGGAGACCUCGCCUUCGAUAUUGACGAUUUAGUUCUGAAAUUGACAUUGCUUCAGCCAACAUGUGUGUGCUUGUUUGAUUGCAUUCUCAUCCUAGUAGCAGUUCAAUCUGUUCUGUUGAUGAACAUGCAGAAUGGUGUCGUGGCAGCACUGCACAAUUAAUUAACUACGCUGAGAAACAUUGUAGCUCUUCUUUUCGUGCCCACACACUAUGGAGCCACCAGCCUGCUCGAUUUGCCCUCACACAGUGCCAACCCUGUGAGAGAAAAUUAUGGUACUGAUUUCUUAGGUUAUAAGGUUAUGUGUUCCCCUAGGAUUUAAGAUGGUGAAGUUACUUGAUGUAGGACCUAGGGUAUACUAUAACUGUAUCACCUUUUGUUGUUUAUCGGCUUGCUUCAAUAAGAACUUCAGUGCUUGAGUCCAACCCUUUAAGGUUUCACUUUGCUCCAAUUACUCAAUCAGAACUCGUGGUUCUAUAUGUUGUAGGCUCUGAACUUCCUUCAAUCAGAAUCUAUUUUUUCACAAGAUUAUGAAAUAUUUAUGUCCCCCAGGUUCUUAUUGGCCAAUUUCUCAGAUUAGGAGUUGAUAUAAACAUCAAUAUGCUCAAGGUAAUAGACCCUACUUUGCAUAGUAAACCAUAUUGAGCUAUUGUGAAUGCAAAACAUCUUUAAUAACUGAAGAUGAUGUCACAACCCUACUUUGGUUUAUAGAUUACAAAGAGAUUGCCCAAUCUAGAAAAGAAAAGGUGUAUGCCAAACUGAAGAGUCGUGUGACGUAAGCAGCUGAGAUGCUAAAAAGUUUGUAUUGUCAAGAUAAAAUGGAUAAUGCAUGGCUUGGAUGCUGAUUGCAAGGAUGCGAAUGGUGCUACAACUGGAUAAUUAGAAUGUCAUUUUCAGGAUGAUGUUUGAAACAUUAUAGUUGAUUGCAAGGUCUAGAAAUUGGCUACUACUUGAUAGUUUCACAUCUUGUAAUCUUUGGAUCCUGUUCUUUGUAAUGCAACAUAGUUGAUUUAAUAUAUGAGA